AUGUGCGGCGACGUCGACAACUCCGAGUCGUCCAUCGACUUCGCCGGGCGCGCCAACUGGCUGCGCGCGGCGGUGCUGGGCGCCAACGACGGGCUUGUCUCCACGGCCUCCCUCAUGCUCGACGUCAGCGCCAUCAAGCCCGACGCGCGCGCAAUGGUCGUGUCCGGGUUCGCCGGCCUCCUGGCGGGGGCGUGCAGCAUGGCCAUCGGAGAGUACGUGUCCGUCUGCUCCCAGCGCGACGUGGAGAUCGCGCAGCUGGACCGUGAUGGCAAGCGCGGCGGCAAUGAGGAGAAGGGGCUGCCCAGCCCGGCGCAAGCCGCGGCCGCCUCCGCGCUAGCUUUCUCCGUCGGGUCGCUGUGGUGGUCGCCGUGGCGACGUUGGCACUGGCAGCGUUCGGAUGCGUGGGCGCCGUGCUCGUGCGGGCCCCCGUGGCGAGGUUGUGCGCGCGGGUGGUGGUGGGAGGGCUGGCCGCUAUGGCCGUCACCUUUGGGUUCAUGA
rnacentral:rRNA from 1 species